UGCAUACGCUCCUACCGUCCGUUGCUGUCUUUGGUUGGCAUCAUCAGCGGAGCAGAUUUCGAAACCCUAAUCGGCAGCCCCUCCCUUUUCUUCGACUACCUCGUGGGCCGAUGACAAUAAUGCCGUGGCCCGAGGUGCCGCCCUGGACCCGUUCAAGUCCUCUUGCUCCUCGGUGGAACGUCGAGACCCACAAAUCGGUCGUAGAGGGCUAGCGAGGAGGUAGAGGGGGAUGAAGACGGCAGAGAGAGUGAGACCAAGGUCGACGACCCGGCCCUACCAUCUCCGGCUAUCGAUUCCUCACCCACGUUAGGAGCUCUAGCAGCGGUUUCACCGCAGGAUCGGCGGAGAUGCUGUUGCUCCCGACAUCUUUGGGGUUGGCCGUGAGGACGACGCGGAAAGGAGGUAGUUUUCUAAGCAGCGGGAAUUGGAGAGGGCGGAAAAGCUGGAGGAGGCAAAGCGGGAUCCGGAAAAGAGGCUCAUAGUCUCCAAAAAGCAUUCUUGUAAGGCUUCCAUCAGCAGACUUUGUGGGCGUGAAGGUCCAUGAUGUGUUGAAGGAGAAGAGGAGGCAACAGAAACAUGCUUAGAAAUGGAAGGAGAUACUCAAGAACACAGAGAGGUUAGGGUAUAUGGAGAAGAGGGAUAAGAAGCUCUUGUGCCCGGGGUUCAAGAAUUGCGAAGUGGAAUAUGCCAAAGAAAAAACUGUUGCAUGUACAAAUUGCCCAUGGUUUUGAAGUCUAAUAAAGAAGAGAAAUCCAUUGGCCCCAUUUCCAGCAGCAUCUAAAAGAUGGUCAGAAUCAUUAACAAUAUGCGUCGUCAUGUGUACAUCUGACGAUGCCCAUGGAAGGUGAUGGGUGGUCCUGAGAACUUGUGGCUCUGAUCCUGCUUUGUGGUCCACAUGUUGUUGCUUGUGUUGUUUAUGAAACAACAAAUCAGUACAUCAGUUGCUCAGAAGGACAUGUAAUUUUAUGUAGUCAUUCUUGCCUUUCAGAACUGUCCUAUGGCAAUUUUUUAUCUCAACAAACACUCUCUACCCUUCUCAUCUUCCUCGUUAUCCAACUAAUUCCUCCAAACAGAGAAAAGUCAUUGAUCCUCUUUGAACGUUAGAUGGUAGUUCCUUGGUUUAAUCACUUGAACACAAUCUUUUGUAACCUUGAACAUUAUCUGAACAUGUUAUUUCUUUUGAAGUUAUAGUGGUUGGAUAUUCUGUGAACUGCCAAAUAGUGUCUUACUAAUUGAUGAUUUAGCAGGCAAUAUAGGGAAUUUACCAUGAUUGAAGUCAACUCAAUAGAAUUUGCCAUGGUCAGACAUCAUGUAGCCAUUCUGAAGUAACAAUAGAAUGUUAUCAGACUACUUACUUGUCUUUAAGUCGAUUCGAUAGUGAAGUGGUGCUUCUAUCUGUUGCUCUGCGAUUGAAUAGCUUUUCUCUUGGAUGUGUCUUUGCCUGGAUGUUAAGCAUACCAUUGAUGGUUGUUGAUGGCUGGGAACAGCAACCUGUAUACUGUUUCAUGUCUCACUGAUGUUUUCUGUGGUUGUUUAGAUUCAAACAAGAACAGCCAAAGACAAAGCAGAUAAAGGUUGAUAUCAAGUGUAUUGAUUUCACCAAAUGGGUUAUGCCAGAGGACAAAGCAGGAAGGCCAACAAGGGGAAGAGGACAGCAGCAUGAAUGCACAAUGGAGGACAGUCUUCUGAGCUGAGCUGAGCUGAGGCGAAGUCAUGAUGGCAUUGUGGCGGUGGGGAGGAGCGGAUUGCAGUGGCGUUCCUUUCGUUCCCACUCCGGGCAAAAAGCUUUGAGCCUUUGCUGUCGGUCUGUGAAAGCAGAAUCGCAGAGAAGACACGAAGAUGAAGGCAAACUGGUUUCCCGCUGCAUGCACUCGACGAUUUGUCGUCGUGGGGUCUCCUCGAGCCUCAGUGCCAUGCAACGUGCUCUUCCAUGUCUCUCGCCGGCCAACCUCUGAGAACUCUCUCUCUCUCUCUCUCUCUCUCCCACAUUGCCAUCUAAUUGCUAUCAUAGCACCAAAUCAGAAUGAUAAGUAGCCUUGUAGAAUAUUUCCCCAAACUGCAUAUGAUUAAGGUCUUCCUACUAUAAACAAUUGUCGCUUCAAAUACUAUCUUGAUUUUGGAUAUUUGUCGUUUUACUUUUUCUCUUUAUACAUUUAUUUACUUGAGC